ensembl:ncRNA lncRNA:CR44289 long non-coding RNA:CR44289
AUAUACUCACUACCCAGUUGUAUCCCCACAAGUAUGAACAUCAUCAGCGAACUCCGCUUGGCCCAAAAACGAGAAUCGAUUAAUCGGCCAAGUAAGGCGCAACUUUGGGGGAAACCCACUCGUUUAAAGCAAUCCGGAAUCGAACGCGGCAGUCUGCUGUUGUGUGUUGAAAGGAUCCACAGCCCCCAGGAAAUUGCUGCUUAAGCACUGAGCAAAAAGUAUGUGUUGUCUUUCAAUUCUUCGAGAUACAAUAUCAUUUGUAAAACCUGUCUAAAAGUGUGCUGUGUAAAAGAAUGUAAAAGAAUCGUAAUUGUUGCAUACUUUUAGACACAUUAAAAAUAUGUUGUAAGCCCAGUAACAAUUACAAAUUAUUAGAAAACCUUGUUUAAUCUUUUACGUAUUCAUUGGCUGCGCUAGUGCAUAGCUUCUCAAACUUUUAUUUUAAAAGUUUUAAAAGAGUCGUAUUAGGCUUUUUCUGAGUGCCCAUAUGUAUUCCACCGGCAAUUUCUGGAUCCUGAGCCAAAAGUCGUGCUACGCAGGAGACAAGUGUGUGACAAUGCCACGGCUCCAGCUCGGGCUCCAAAGUAGAAGUGGCUCGCAAACUUUGUGUCCCCAUCCCCAACCAAAACGAAGAGUUCCUGGAACAACUUGCCUCGCAUAUGGCGCUGCACCUACAAGGACACGAAGCAAGACGCCAGGAAUCGCACCCUUGCUGCUGCCGCCGUCGCCAUUUUUAGUGUAAAUAUUUAAACAAUAAUAAGUUGGCGGAAAAACGUGGGGAAACUCUUACGCUGCCAGCGCGGCAAGGCGAGGCAAAAACUUUUGUUAUCUUUUCACCAUGAAAAUAGCACGAAAUUGAACAGGAAAACGCCGCCGGAGUCAGGUGAGAAGUGCUGGUGGUGAUGGUGCCCAGGCGGGCGGAUAGGGAGGCAGGUGACAGGUGGCAUGGGAGACUGCUACACAUCGACGGGCUUUCGACAGAAAGACAGACAGUCAGCCUGAAAGCUGAAAGCAUUGCACGUGCACUAAUCAUCACGGAUGGCGGUGCGCACGGGGAAUUUGGCUGGUGUAUCGCCUUUCAUGUUUUCAAUUAGCGUUAAUGUCAGUGCAGCGCCCGUUGAGCUGGAACGGGUACCGAAAACUAUAGUAUAGUAUCACCAUUGGCCAAUGUUUGCGUUUUGACAAUACACCGCCCAACCCUUUCCAAAUAAAGGCUUGUUAGACAAAGGGAUAUCAUAUCGCCAAACCCAGACGUUAUAUACCUGGCUUAAAGUUUGUGGCAACUUUAGAGAGCAUGGUUGCAUGGCAUGGUUAAGAAAUAUAAUUGUAUAUCUUGUAUUUAUUGGUAAAAAUAAUUCGUUUAGCUCUGUGCUCUGUUCGAGACGUUUGAAAUUGAAGUUUUUUGCGAACUUUCGACUGCGACUACUGCUAGAGUAACUACAAGUGGAAAUUAAUUUUCGACGACAGGCUCAAUCCAUCAUUAAUGCUCCCCACAAAGCCAACGUUCUUUAUUCAUACCAUAACUGCUCUAUAAAUAUGAUCAGGGAACGACUUGCCUUUACCCCGAAAAUGUCAUUUGCAUAACCGUCAAUCAUACGCCACGUAUGCCGGCUCUUUGCUGUUCCACCUUGUUUGUUUCUGCCCCACUGGGUGCACACACACACACCACCAACAACACCACCAACAACACCACCGGAGCCCAAACCCAGCAUAUGUUCGAUGGCACUGAAAAUUUUGCUUCUCGAUUUGCGUUUGCGUUUUAUUUCGAAAUUGAAUUUCAGCACUGAUUAUAUUUUUUCUACCUUCUUUGCCGAGCAGCCAGCCACAUAUCGAAUAUGGGAAUAUGUGCGAUGCGGACUUGGGGGAGUCCUGAGGAUCCGGCGUGUUCUGAUGGGGAUGCAUUGAUUGGUUGAAUGGAGGUGGUUAGGGGCCUCCUGUUGUUUGCCGGGGGUGCAUAAAUAAGCGCCACUCAAUUAUGCAGACUGUGGGCGAAGCAGCCAUAAUCCUUUAUCCUUUCUACCAGCGACGUGUCGAUUUGAUUUGCUUUGCAAUUUAUUUUUGAAUAGCGCUGAC